UACGUAGGGGGCAAGCGUUGUUCGGAUUUACUGGGCGUAAAGGGCGCGUAGGCGGCGUGACAAGUCACUUGUGAAAUCUCCGGGCUUAACUCGGAACUGCCAAGUGAUACUGUCGUGCUAGAGUGCAGAAGGGGCAAUCGGAAUUCUUGGUGUAGCGGUGAAAUGCGUAGAUAUCAAGAGGAACACCUGAGGUGAAGACGGGUUGCUGGGCUGACACUGACGCUGAGGCGCGAAAGCUAGGGGAGCAAACGGG
rnacentral:rRNA from 1 species